GGGGAAUCUUGCGCAUGGGCGCAAGGCUGACGCAGCAGACGCCGCGUGCUAGGGAUGGACAGGCUCUUCGGGUGUGUAAACCNCUUGUUGCCCGGGACGAACACGACCGUACCCACGAGACUAGACGCGUCCGGGUAACGUACUGAUAGCCACCGAGCUAGACGUGCUGAUGACCACAGCCG
rnacentral:rRNA from 1 species